rnacentral:tRNA from 1 species
AAAGCGUUAACUUAAAUUAAAGUGUUAGAUUUUUAAUCUAAAAAUGAAUUAUUCACGCUUUA